UGAGACAUUGCUCAGUGGUAGAGCACGUGCUUAGUGUGCAUGAGGUCCUGGGUUCAAUACCCUGUACCUCCA
rnacentral:tRNA from 1 species